AUGAGUGGGAUGGCGUCCAGGCGGAAGCCGGUGUCUGAGAGUAGGGGGACCAAAUCGGGUAGGAUGGCGGACGGUGGAGGGGAGUUGGGUGGCUAUCACCCUCAUCACGUGCAGCGUGCUGUUUGUGACUCGCGGGCCAAGUACCGGGAGGGCCGGAGGCCCCGCGCAGUUAAGGUAUAUACAAUCAAUUUGGAAUCUCAGUACUUAUUAAUUCAAGGAGUUCCUGCCGUGGGAGUUAUGAAAGAGUUGAUUGAGCAAUUUGCUUUAUUUGGUGCUAUUGAACAGUAUAAUGCUCUAGAUGAGUAUCCGGCAGAAGAAUUUACAGAAGUGUAUCUAAUUAAAUUCCAAAAAUUACAAAGUGCAAGGAUAGCCAAACGAAAAUUGGAUGAACGAAGUUUUUUCGGUGGUUUACUUCAUGUGUGCUAUGCUCCAGAAUUUGAAACAGUACAAGAAACCAGAGAGAAAUUACAGGAGAGACGACGAUAUAUAGCAAGAACAACUGGGAUUAAAGAAGAUAAACUCCAGCCAGUAACAAAGAAAAAUGUGUAUACAGAACCUACAUUUACAAAAGACCUCAGAAAUUAUUUUCAAUCAAAGGCGUCUGAAUUUUGUGCAACUUCUUUGAACCCUUAUACUGAAAAUCCAUGGAAUUGUCAUCCUGGCUCUCUGAAUUCAACUCCAUAUCAUGUCUCUUCAAAGUAUACAGCUUCUGAAUCAGGAGAUCUCUUAGAGAGAACUCUGAUCCCCCCUCAGCUUGAUAGAAACUAUAACAAAACUAUGUCAGAUUAUAACCAGAAGAACUCUUUGACAGAGAUGGAAAUGAUUGGAACUUCAGUAGGCUAUAUUGAACCCCAAAAGGUUAUUCCUUCUAAUAAUGGAAUUGCUAGAUUCAUGCCUCGAACAACUCAGCUGCAGGAGCGAAAGAGAAGAAGAGAAGAAGACCGUAAACUUGGAACUUUCCUUGAAACAAACCCAAGAAGUAAGGAAGUUAUUAUUGGACCACAGCUACCAGAAAUCCCUAAAGUGGAUAUGGAGGAUGAGUCUUUGAAUAUGUCAGCUAACUUAAUUCGUAAUAAACUAAAGGAGGUCAUUUCUUCCCAACCAAAACCCUCAGAGAGCAAGCUGGAAGAUACACAUAUAAGUCGUCCAUUAAAGCAAAGAAGAAGAAUAUAGAAGAGUAUAAAUCUGGAAAAUGGCAUGAUGAAGAAACUGAAGCAGACGGAAGUUAAGUGAUUUGCUCAAGAUCAUACAGCUAGAUCUUCUUCCACUGGAUGUUUGAGGAGACUGUUCUUCAGCAUGUCAAACAUUUCAUCCUGGGAAAUAUAUCCGUCCCCAUUCACGUAAUAAACUUGGUAACAGUCUUUUUGAAGCAGGAAGAAAAACAUCAAUUUUAGAUGAACAAUUAACCUUGUUUCAUUUUCUCCUUAAUUAUCAUAAUGCAUUAUUAUAUCAUCAUUAACAUUUUAUAAAAUGUGGGAGGCAAAAUGGUCCAACAGAAAGAACCCCGAAUUUAGUGUCAUAGGACUCAAAUGUGUAACAGGCUGGCUGACCUCCAAAGCUCCUUCCGGCUCUAUGGCAUGAUAUUAUUUGCAAAUGGAAUAUAGCAGCAAACAUUCUUGUCAACUAAGUGGGAUUUAUACUAGGAAUCCAAGGAUUAUUGAACAUUAAGAAAACAAACAUCAGAAAAAUGUGUAAAUCAUAAGAUGCUGUCAAUACAUAUAGAAAAAGCUUUCAGUAAGAUGACAUUCGUUCAUGAUUGAAAAUAAAA